rnacentral:rRNA from 1 species
GACGAACGCUGGCGGCAUGCCUAACACAUGCAAGUCUAGGGGUAGCAAUACCACUGGCGCACGGGUGAGUAACACGUAGGUUAUCUGCCCCCAUCACAGACAUAACCCCGGGAAACCGGGGCUAAUAUCUGAUGAGGUCGCGAGAUCAAAGCUUCGGCGGAUGGGGAUGAGCCUGCGGCUGAUUAGCUAGUUGGUGAGGUAAUGGCUCACCAAGGCGACGAUCAGUAGCUGGUCUGAGAGGACGAACAGCCACACUGGAACUGAGACACGGUCCAGACUCCUACGGGAGCAGCAGUGAGGAAUAUUGGACAAUGGGCGCAAGCCUGAUCCAGCCAUGCCGCGUGAGUGAAGAAGGCCUUCGCCUUGUAAACCACUGUCGG